UCCCUUGAUAUUCUCCCACCUUGCAUAGC
rnacentral:piRNA from 1 species